rnacentral:rRNA from 1 species
UACGGAGGGUGCAAGCGUUGUUCGGAUUUAUUGGGCGUAAAGCGCGUGUAGGCGGUCUCUUAAGUCUGAUGUGAAAGCCCUUGGCUUAACCGAGGAAGUGCAUCCGAAACUGGCGAGCUAGAGUACGAAAGAGGAUCGCGGAAUUCCCGGUGUAGAGGUGAAAUUCGUAGAUAUCGGGAGGAACACCGGUGGCGAAGGCGGCGAUCUGGGUCGAUACUGACGCUGAGGUGCGAAAGCGUGGGGAGCAAACAGG